rnacentral:rRNA from 1 species
UGGGGAAUAUUGGACAAUGGGCGAAAGCCUGAUCCAGCAAUGCCGCGUGAGUGAUGAAGGCCUUCGGGUUGUAAACUCCUGUCGACCGGGACGAAAGUAGUCCGACCCAAUACGUCGGGCUAUCGACUGUACCGGUGGAGGAAGCCACGGCUAACUCUGUGCCAGCAGCCGCGGUAAUACAGAGGUGGCAAGCGUUGUUCGGAAUUACUGGGCGUAAAGGGCGCGUAGGCGGUCUUUUAAGUCUUGUGUGAAAUCCCUCGGCUCAACUGAGGAACUGCACGGGAUACUGGAAGACUUGAGUUCGGGAGAGGGAAGCGGAAUUCCGGGUGUAGCGGUGAAAUGCGUAGAUAUCCGGAGGAACACCGGUGGCGAAGGCGGCUUCCUGGACCGAUCACUGACGCUGAGGCGCGAAAGCUAGGGGAGCAAA